rnacentral:rRNA from 1 species
CCUACGGGCGGCUGCAGUGGGGAAUAUUGGACAAUGGGCGAAAGCCUGAUCCAGCCAUGCCGCGUGUGUGAAGAAGGCCUUCGGGUUGUAAAGCACUUUCAGUGGGGAAGAAAGCCUUGGGGCUAAUACCCUCGAGGAAGGACAUCACCCACAGAAGAAGCACCGGCUAACUCCGUGCCAGCAGCCGCGGUAAUACGGAGGGUGCGAGCGUUAAUCGGAAUUACUGGGCGUAAAGCGCGCGUAGGCGGUCUGAUAAGCCGGUUGUGAAAGCCCCGGGCUCAACCUGGGAACGGCAUCCGGAACUGUCAGGCUAGAGUGCAGGAGAGGAAGGCAGAAUUCCCGGUGUAGCGGUGAAAUGCGUAGAGAUCGGGAGGAAUACCAGUGGCGAAGGCGGCCUUCUGGACUGACACUGACGCUGAGGUGCGAAAGCGUGGGUAGCAAACAGGAUUAGAUACCCCAGUAGUC